CCGAUACAAAAUCCAUGGUGAUGCGCUCCCACUUCCACUCCAGAAUCUCUAUCUGCUGAAGCAACCCACCUGGUCUCUGGUGCUCAUACUUCACCGCUGACAGUUGAGGCAUCUAGAUACAUAUCCAACUAUAUCCUUCUUCAUUCUCCUCCACCAAUAGUGCUGCCUCAAGUCCUGAUACACCUUUGCGGCACCCAGAUAGAUGGAAUACCUCGAGCCAUGGGCCUCUGCUAGGAUGAACUCCCGUAGCCCAUCAAUAUCAGGCAAACAAACACGGUUAUACAUCCUCAACACCUCGUUAUCUCCAAUUAUCAUGUCUCUAGCAUCGCCACUCUGAAACUUUUCCUUAAGGGAAAGCAAAUGGGAUCAUCAUACUGCGGCUCCCUAAUACGAUCAAAUAAGGAAGACCGGGAAACCACACAAGCUAGAACACGGCUGGGCUUGGAAA
rnacentral:lncRNA from 1 species